CAGCCGCCACGGGAAUACGUAGGUGGCAAGCGUUGUCCGGAAUUAUUGGGCGUAAAGGGCUCGCAGGCGGUUUCUUAAGUCAGAUGUGAAAGCCCCCGGCUCAACCGGGGAGGGUCAUUGGAAACUGGGAAACUUGAGUGCAGAAGAGGAGAGUGGAAUUCCACGUGUAGCGGUGAAAUGCGUAGAGAUGUGGAGGAACACCAGUGGCGAAGGCGACUCUCUGGUCUGUAACUGACGCUGAGGAGCGAAAGCGUGGGGAGCGAACAGGAUUAGAUACCCCGGUAGUCCCUGUCUCUUAUAC
rnacentral:rRNA from 1 species